AAAAUAAUUAUUUUCUUUUAAAUUAACAGCUUGUCAUUAUCUGUAAUGUAAGAAGAACUUGAUAGUGUGGAUAAUCUGAAGCAUAAUAGCCUGAAAGCUCUGGAAUGGGGUUCAUCCAUGAAACACAUAUGCCCUGCCAUCCGGAGAACAGAGCGGCAGCUGUGAAGGUUGGCUUCUGAGUCACCAUCACUGAAGUGGAACUAUUUGUACAAGUUCAAAGGCACCAAAGACCUUGGCAAUCAUCUGCCUUAGUGAAUGUCAAGACGUAGAUGACAUCACUGUAAACUGAAACGACUGUGAUAAUAAUGAAGACCGUGUACAAAGAUUAUCACAGGCUGUGUCUUUCGACUUCAAGGUUAUGUGAUGAGAAAAUUAGAAAAGCGACAAGAUUAGAAAAACCGCGGAACAUUUUGAAAGAAAGCUGCUUUUUUACCAAUUAUCUGUGUGCAGGAUUUACACAGAAUCUGAGAGAUGGAUCUUCUAAUGUUUGGAAAUGGAUGAACGCAGCAAUGCAAAUAGGAAGAAGUGCUUUGGGGCCUACUCCUGGCAGAAGUUCAAAACCCAUAUUAAGUGUUCUAACGCACUGAGUGCCUGUUACUUAUAUGUAUUUUUUUAAAUUGCCGUGUAUGUACAGAACGCAAAAUAUAACCAUUUUGUAAAUAAAAGCU